CCAUAUAAUGUCGCGAAAUAGUUCAUGCGAUUGCACUGUCAUCAUCUCAGACUGCUGGGAUCAGAGGCAGAACCUGAGAUCCAGGGUUCCCACAUCUUCUUAAACAUCAAACCCAAUGUGAUAUAUGCUGACAUAAAGAUUGGCCGAAGCAGAGCAGAUGAAGAGAACCUUUGCUCCCUCCGUCACAGUCUGAGGCUGGACUGACAGAGUCACCGAGGGAGGGUCUGUGAAAGGAAAAAAAACCUUUGUGUUACUGACACGACUGUAUGACUUGGCUCUUCAUCAGAUUUACUAAUCUUAUUGGCACCGGCCACCUUUUAACGGUGCAACAGGAUUAAAUGUCUUUUGACAGA